UUCUUCCUGUAUCUAUCCACAAUGUCUGAUCUCGGGUCAAGUACCAAAAUUCUGAAAAACAAAGACUCCAUUCAACUUCAUUGAACAUCCACUUACUUUGCAAACUUGGUGUGGAAGAGGGGAAUGUUCCUCAUUGUCGCUGCAACCAUGCCAGCAGAAUGGCAGAAACAAGCUCAAUCCAUCAUAUCAGUGCUACACAGUGGUUAAGCUGACUUAUACACCACAAGACCCUGGCAGCUUGGUUCGAGAUCACCACCCAAGUCAGUGCUGGCUCCAUGGUGCAGAGGAAUGGCCAGCAGUGCCUCAAGAAGAACAAUGACCUUUCCCGCUGUUCCAUGAUGCUGCCAGACCUGCUGAGCUUCCAGCAACUUCUGUUUUUGUUCCUGAUUUACGGCAUCCACAGUUCUUUUGGUUUUUAUUUAGCUUCUAGUGGUGCCUUUGUGGAAUGCAGUUCUAGUCUCUCCAAUAAGGAGAAGCAUCAUCUCAACAUCUAUCCUGUCAAAUUCGUUCAAAUUCAUUUGACUUGACAAACCACCUGGAGAGUCAAGCACAGAUGCUGCCAGACCUGCUGAGAUUUUCCAGCAACUUUGUUUUUGUUAAGGCUCCAUAGAGGGAUGCUUCUAAACCCAUGACCAUUAUCAUCUAGACGGAAAAGACAGCAGAUAUAUGAAAUCACAACCGUCUGAAGGCUUUUCUUCAAGCCACUCUCCAUCCUGAUUUGGAAAUAUAUCACCUUGAUAUUCUUGGUAACAAUGUUGAGAAAAACUUGUACCUUGUUGUUAACAUGUAAUAAAUCACAACUUGUUUGA